rnacentral:rRNA from 1 species
CACGUAGGGCGCAAGCGUUGUCCGGAAUUAUUGGGCGUAAAGAGCUCGUAGGCGGUCUGUUGCGUCCGCUGUGAAAACCCGGGGCUUAACCCCUGGCUUGCAGUGGAUACGGACAGACUAGAGGUAGGUAGGGGAGAAUGGAAUUUCCGGUGGAGCGGUGAAAUGCGUAGAGAUCGGAAAGAACACCAACGGCGAAAGCACUCUGCUGGGCCGACACUGACACUGAGAGACGAAAGCUAGGGGAGCGAAUGGG